GAAACUCAAAGGAAUUGACGGGGACCCGCACAAGCAGCGGAGCGUGUGGUUUAAUUCGUUGCUACACGAAGAACCUUACCUGGGUUUGACAUAUAGGUUGUAGGGAACUGAAAGGGACCGACCCUUCGGGGAGCCUAUACAGGUGUUGCAUGGCUGUCGUCAGCUCGUGUCGUGAGAUGUUCGGUUAAGUCCGCUAACGAGCGCAACCCUCGUCGUAUGUUAUAUGUGUCAUACGAGACUGCCGGUAAAAGCCGGAGGAAGGUGAGGAUGAUGUCAAGUCAGCAUGACCUUUAUAUCCAGGGCUACACACACGCUACAAUGGUCUGUACAAUGGGUAGCCAAGCCGCGAGGCGGAGCCAAUCCUGAAAGCAGGCCUCAGUUCAGAUUGCAGUCUGCAACUCGACUGCAUGAAGCCGGAGUUGCUAGUAACCGCAGGUCAGCAAUACUGCGGUGAAUACGUUCCCGGGUCUU
rnacentral:rRNA from 1 species